rnacentral:rRNA from 1 species
UCCCUAGAUGUUCUGGGCCGCACGCGCGCUACACUGAACAGUUCAACAAGUCUUAACCUUGGCCGAUAGGUCUGGGUAAUCUUUGAACGCUGUUCGUGAUUGGGAUAGACCUUUGCAAUUAUGGGUCUUCAACGAGGAAUUCCUAGUAAACGCAAGUCAUCAGCUUGCAUUGAUUACGUCCCUGCCCUUUGUACACACCGCCCGUCGCACCUACCGAUUGAAUGGUCCGGUGAAAUCUCGGGACGGCGGCUUGGUCGCUUGCGUCCGACUGCUGAAACUUGAUUAAACCAUAUCAUUUAGAGGAAGGUGAAGUCGUAACA